UAGGGAAUCUUCGGCAAUGGACGGAAGUCUGACCGAGCAACGCCGCGUGAGUGAAGAAGGUUUUCGGAUCGUAAAGCUCUGUUGUAAGAGAAGAACGAGUGUGAGAGUGGAAAGUUCACACUGUGACGGUAUCUUACCAGAAAGGGACGGCUAACUACGUGCCAGCAGCCGCGGUAAUACGUAGGUCCCGAGCGUUGUCCGGAUUUAUUGGGCGUAAAGCGAGCGCAGGCGGUUAGAUAAGUCUGAAGUUAAAGGCUGUGGCUUAACCAUAGUAGGCUUUGGAAACUGUUUAACUUGAGUGCAAGAGGGGAGAGUGGAAUUCCAUGUGUAGCGGUGAAAUGCGUAGAUAUAUGGAGGAACACCGGUGGCGAAAGCGGCUCUCUGGCUUGUAACUGACGCUGAGGCUCGAAAGCGUGGGGAGCAAACAGGAUUAGAUACCCCGGUAGUCCACGCUGUAAACGAUGAGUGCUAGGUGUUAGACCCUUUCCGGGGUUUAGUGCCGUAGCUAACGCAUUAAGCACUCCGCCUGGGGAGUACGACCGCAAGGUU
rnacentral:rRNA from 1 species